UACGUAGGGGGCAAGCGUUAUCCGGAAUUAUUGGGCGUAAAGCGUGCGUAGGUGGUUACCUAAGCGCAAGGUUUAAUUUAGCAGCUCAACUGCUACAUGCCUUGCGAACUGGGCUACUUGAGUGCAGGAGGGGAAAGCGGAAUUCCUAGUGUAGCGGUGAAAUGCGUAGAUAUUAGGAGGAACACCGGCGGCGAAGGCGGCUUUCUGGACUGUAACUGACACUGAGGCACGAAAGCGUGGGGAGCAAACAGG
rnacentral:rRNA from 1 species